UACGGAGGGGGCUAGCGUUGUUCGGAAAUUACUGGGCGUAAAGCGCACGUAGGCGGCUUUGUAAGUUAGAGGUGAAAGCCCGGGGCUCAACUCCGGAAUUGCCUUUAAGACUGCAUCGCUAGAAUUGUGGAGAGGUAAGUGGAAUUCCGUAAGUGUAGAGGUGAAAUUCGUAGAUAUUAGGAAGAACACCAGUGGCGAAGG
rnacentral:rRNA from 1 species